rnacentral:rRNA from 1 species
AGUGAACGCUGGCGGUAGGCCUAACACAUGCAAGUCGAACGGCAGCACAGGAGAGCUUGCUCUCUGGGUGGCGAGUGGCGGACGGGUGAGGAAUACAUCGGAAUCUACUCUGUCGUGGGGGAUAACGUAGGGAAACUUACGCUAAUACCGCAUACGACCUACGGGUGAAAGCAGGGGAUCUUCGGACCUUGCGCGAUUGAAUGAGCCGAUGUCGGAUUAGCUAGUUGGCGGGGUAAAGGCCCACCAAGGCGACGAUCCGUAGCUGGUCUGAGAGGAUGGACAGCCACACUGGAACUGGGACACGGUCCAGACUCCUACGGGAGGCAGCAGUGGGGAAUAUUGGACAAUGGGCGCAAGCCUGAUCCAGCCAUACCGCGUGGGUGAAGAAGGCCUUCGGGUUGUAAAGCCCUUUUGUUGGGAAAGAAAUCCAGCUGGCUAAUACCCGGUUGGGAUGACGGUACCCAAAGAAUAAGCACCGGCUAACUUCGUGCCAGCAGCCGCCGCGG